GAUGAACGCUGGCGGCGUGCCUAAUACAUGCAAGUCGAGCGGACGGACGAGAAGCUUGCUUCGCUGAUGUUAGCGGCGGACGGGUGAGUAACACGUGGAUAACCUACCUAUAAGACUGGGAUAACUUCGGGAAACCGGAGCUAAUACCGGAUAAUAUUUUGAACCGCAUGGUUCAAAAGUGAAAGACGGUCUUGCUGUCACUUAUAGAUGGAUCCGCGCUGCAUUAGCUAGUUGGUAAGGUAACGGCUUACCAAGGCAACGAUGCAUAGCCGACCUGAGAGGGUGAUCGGCCACACUGGAACUGAGACACGGUCCAGACUCCUACGGGAGGCAGCAGUAGGGAAUCUUCCGCAAUGGGCGAAAGCCUGACGGAGCAACGCCGCGUGAGUGAUGAAGGUCUUCGGAUCGUAAAACUCUGUUAUUAGGGAAGAACAUAUGUGUAAGUAACUGUUCACAUCUUGACGGUACCUAAACAGAAAGCCACGGCUAACUACGUG
rnacentral:rRNA from 1 species